GAUGCCGCUCAAGCAUUGUGCCGAUACCCGGCCGUCGGGACAGAGCUGGCCUUCCCCAGGGCACACAGGUCCCGACGAGUAGGUGGUGCGCGGCGGUCGCUGCGAAGGGUCUGGGCGUGAGCCUGCCUAGAGCGGCCGUCGGUGCAGAUCUUGGUGGUAGUAGCAAUUACUCGAGUGGGAACCUCGAGGUCUGAUGUGGAGAAGGGUUCCAUGUGAACAGCAAUUGAACAUGGGUUAGUCGGUCCUAAGGCGCAGGAGAAAUCCGGGGAAAGGCCGGGGCAAUCUAACGAUUCAGACUGCCUCCACCCAGCCGAAAGGGAAUGCGGUUAAAAUUCUGCAACCCGGACACGGAUAACCCCUUUACGGGGUAUUGGGGCCCAUGCGACCUAUGCCGUAAGGCAAACAAACUCGGGGACGCCGACCGCUGCCCCGGGCAGAGUUGUCUGUUCUGCUUAAGGGCCCGGAUCCCUGGAAUUGGCUCGGCCAGAGAAAGGGAACUGGUGCCUGAAGAGCCCCGCAGCUCUCGCGGGGUCCGAUGGGUAGCGUUUGGCCCUUGAAAACCCGAGGGAGGGCGUACCGACUUUCGUGCCGGGCCGUACCCAUAU
rnacentral:rRNA from 1 species